CAAUGGCCUAGUGUUUAGAGCGUCCUCCUCGGAUGAGGGAGGUCGUGGGUUUGAUCCCCAGCCAAGUCAUAUCGA